UGUGAGCUCGAUGAGUAGGGCGGGACACGUGGUAUCCUGUCUGAAUAUGGGGGGACCAUCCUCCAAGGCUAAAUACUCCUGACUGACCGAUAGUGAACCAGUACCGUGAGGGAAAGGCGAAAAGAACCCCGGCGAGGGGAGUGAAAAAGAACCUGAAACCGUGUACGUACAAGCAGUGGGAGCCUCUUUAUGGGGUGACUGCGUACCUUUUGUAUAAUGGGUCAGCGACUUAUAUUCUGUAGCAAGGUUAACCGAAUAGGGGAGCCGAAGGGAAACCGAGUCUUAACUGGGCGUUAAGUUGCAGGGUAUAGACCCGAAACCCGGUGAUCUAGCCAUGGGCAGGUUGAAGGUUGGGUAACACUAACUGGAGGACCGAACCGACUAAUGUUGAAAAAUUAGCGGAUGACUUGUGGCUGGGGGUGAAAGGCCAAUCAAACCGGGAGAUAGCUGGUUCUCCCCGAAAGCUAUUUAGGUAGCGCCUCGUGAAUUCAUCUCCGGGGGUAGAGCACUGUUUCGGCAAGGGGGUCAUCCCGACUUACCAACCCGAUGCAAACUGCGAAUACCGGAGAAUGUUAUCACGGGAGACACACGGCGGGUGCUAACGUCCGUCGUGAAGAGGGAAACAACCCAGACCGCCAGCUAAGGUCCCAAAGUCAUGGUUAAGUGGGAAACGAUGUGGGAAGGCCCAGACAGCCAGGAUGUUGGCUUAGAAGCAGCCAUCAUUUAAAGAAAGCGUAAUAGCUCACUGGUCGAGUCGGCCUGCGCGGAAGAUGUAACGGGGCUAAACCAUGCACCGAAGCUGCGGCAGCGACACUAUGUGUUGUUGGGUAGGGGAGCGUUCUGUAAGCCUGUGAAGGUGUGCUGUGAGGUAUGCUGGAGGUAUCAGAAGUGCGAAUGCUGACAUAAGUAACGAUAAAGCGGGUGAAAAGCCCGCUCGCCGGAAGACCAAGGGUUCCUGUCCAACGUUAAUCGGGGCAGGGUGAGUCGACCCCUAAGGCGAGGCCGAAAGGCGUAGUCGAUGGGAAACAGGUUAAUAUUCCUGUACUUGGUGUUACUGCGAAGGGGGGACGGAGAAGGCUAUGUUGGCCGGGCGACGGUUGUCCCGGUUUAAGCGUGUAGGCUGGUUUUCCAGGCAAAUCCGGAAAAUCAAGGCUGAGGCGUGAUGACGAGGCACUACGGUGCUGAAGCAACAAAUGCCCUGCUUCCAGGAAAAGCCUCUAAGCAUCAGGUAACAUCAAAUCGUACCCCAAACCGACACAGGUGGUCAGGUAGAGAAUACCAAGGCGCUUGAGAGAACUCGGGUGAAGGAACUAGGCAAAAUGGUGCCGUAACUUCGGGAGAAGGCACGCUGAUAUGUAGGUGAAGUCCCUUGCGGAUGGAGCUGAAAUCAGUCGAAGAUACCAGCUGGCUGCAACUGUUUAUUAAAAACACAGCACUGUGCAAACACGAAAGUGGACGUAUACGGUGUGACGCCUGCCCGGUGCCGGAAGGUUAAUUGAUGGGGUUAGCGGUAACGCGAAGCUCUUGAUCGAAGCCCCGGUAAACGGCGGCCGUAACUAUAACGGUCCUAAGGUAGCGAAAUUCCUUGUCGGGUAAGUUCCGACCUGCACGAAUGGCGUAAUGAUGGCCAGGCUGUCUCCACCCGAGACUCAGUGAAAUUGAACUCGCUGUGAAGAUGCAGUGUACCCGCGGCAAGACGGAAAGACCCCGUGAACCUUUACUAUAGCUUGACACUGAACAUUGAGCCUUGAUGUGUAGGAUAGGUGGGAGGCUUUGAAGUGUGGACGCCAGUCUGCAUGGAGCCGACCUUGAAAUACCACCCUUUAAUGUUUGAUGUUCUAACGUUGGCCCCUAAUCGGGGUUGCGGACAGUGUCUGGUGGGUAGUUUGACUGGGGCGGUCUCCUCCUAAAGAGUAACGGAGGAGCACGAAGGUUGGCUAAUCCUGGUCGGACAUCAGGAGGUUAGUGCAAUGGCAUAAGCCAGCUUGACUGCGAGCGUGACGGCGCGAGCAGGUGCGAAAGCAGGUCAUAGUGAUCCGGUGGUUCUGAAUGGAAGGGCCAUCGCUCAACGGAUAAAAGGUACUCCGGGGAUAACAGGCUGAUACCGCCCAAGAGUUCAUAUCGACGGCGGUGUUUGGCACCUCGAUGUCGGCUCAUCACAUCCUGGGGCUGAAGUAGGUCCCAAGGGUAUGGCUGUUCGCCAUUUAAAGUGGUACGCGAGCUGGGUUUAGAACGUCGUGAGACAGUUCGGUCCCUAUCUGCCGUGGGCGCUGGAGAACUGAGGGGGGCUGCUCCUAGUACGAGAGGACCGGAGUGGACGCAUCACUGGUGUUCGGGUUGUCAUGCCAAUGGCACUGCCCGGUAGCUAAAUGCGGAAGAGAUAAGUGCUGAAAGCAUCUAAGCACGAAACUUGCCCCGAGAUGAGUUCU
rnacentral:rRNA from 1 species